GAGAGGCCCUGCUGUAUCUGGUUUC
rnacentral:piRNA from 1 species